GACGAACGCUGGCGGCGUGCCUAAUACAUGCAAGUUGAGCGCUGAAGGUUGGUACUUGUACCAACUGGAUGAGCAGCGAACGGGUGAGUAACGCGUGGGGAAUCUGCCUUUGAGCGGGGGACAACAUUUGGAAACGAAUGCUAAUACCGCAUAAAAACUUUAAACACAAGUUUUAAGUUUGAAAGAUGCAAUUGCAUCACUCAAAGAUGAUCCCGCGUUGUAUUAGCUAGUUGGUGAGGUAAAGGCUCACCAAGGCGAUGAUACAUAGCCGACCUGAGAGGGUGAUCGGCCACAUUGGGACUGAGACACGGCCCAAACUCCUACGGGAGGCAGCAGUAGGGAAUCUUCGGCAAUGGACGAAAGUCUGACCGAGCAACGCCGCGUGAGUGAAGAAGGGUUUCGGAUCGUAAAACUCUGUUGGUAGAGAAGAAAGUUGGUGAGAGUGGAAAGCUCAUCAAGUGACGGUAACUACCCAGAAAGGGACGGCUAACUACGUG
rnacentral:rRNA from 1 species